rnacentral:rRNA from 1 species
CCUUUGUACACACCGCCCGUCGCUACUACCGAUUGAAUGGCUUAGUGAGGUCUCCGGAUUGGCUUUGGAAAGCCGGAAACGGCAUUCUGUUGCUGAGAAGCUGAUCAAACUUGGUCAUUUAGAGG